rnacentral:lncRNA from 1 species
UCACAUCAAGGAUGAACUUGUCACCAAUAGCCCACUACACAUUCCAAUAGUGCCAGGGGCGUAGACUGGGCCUCACUGAUCUUUCUCUUACAUUACAUAACAUAACAUUCCAAUAUGCCAGGGGCGUAGAAUGGGCCUCACUGGUCUUCCAUACCAUACCAUAUCAUAUCAUAUCAUAGUGCGGGCUAAAGGAUCAUCCAACAUUCAUCCACAUCAACAACAUGAUAUGCAAUGCAACAUAUUCGUGAGUUCUAAUGCAAGCACCCUAGUAUAUCUCAUGGCAUUCAUGAUGCGUGAAUCAUGUUAAGAACUGAUUUAUUUACUUAAAAGCAUAAAGAGUUAUUCCACUCACCUUAGGCUAGCUCUGACAAGACACUGAAGCAGCUAACUCACUGCUGGGGUCCUCGGUUCCUCGGGUCCGAACCUACACAGGUGGACUCAAAUGAGGGACCAAACAUCCAUAAACAUG